GGAACUUCAAGUUCACAAGUCAUCUCCUUUCAAGGCAGGUGCCUGGUGUGACAUCAGGGUUAUGACCAUGCCUCUUUUCAGAACAGCACAAACUGCAUUAGUUGGCAGAAGACGUGAUGGAAACCACUAGUGCUAAGGGAUUAAUGUGGAGCCACGGAGGAGUGUGAUAGACUGAAGAGGCUACAUCAGUGUUACAAGGGAAGGACCUGGCACCCAGAGCUGGGCACUGGAAUCUGGGCGUCUGACAGCACCCUAACUGGUGUGUAAAUGCCACAGGAUUCAGGAAAAGCUGCUUAUUUCAGAAGGUGAAAGCAAGAGAUGCUUUGAAGUAUCCAUCGCUACAGAUAAAUGACUGGGAAAGGGUCUUGCAACUUUCUCUGGGUGGCAAAUCUUUUCCCAGCCUCUGAGCGACUCCUGUGCCCUGGUAAACUCCCAGCCUCUUUUUUACCUCCGUCUUGUGCAGAGGUUAAGAAAGUGAACUGUAACACGA